rnacentral:rRNA from 1 species
AGAGUUUGAUCCUGGCUCAGAACGAACGCUGGCGGCGUGGAUAAGACAUGCAAGUCGAACGAGAGAAUUGCUAGCUUGCUAAUAAUUCUCUAGUGGCGCACGGGUGAGCAACACGUGAGUAACCUGCCCCCGAGAGCGGGAUAGCCCUGGGAAACUGGGAUUAAUACCGCAUAGUAUCGAAAGAUUAAAGCAGCAAUGCGCUUGGGGAUGGGCUCGCGGCCUAUUAGUUAGUUGGUGAGGUAACGGCUCACCAAGGCGAUGACGGGUAGCCGGUCUGAGAGGAUGUCCGGCCACACUGGAACUGAGACACGGUCCAGACACCUACGGGUGGCAGCAGUCGAGAAUCAUUCACAAUGGGGGAAACCCUGAUGGUGCGACGCCGCGUGGGGGAAUGAAGGUCUUCGGAUUGUAAACCCCUGUCAUGUGGGAGCAAAUUAAAAAGAUAGUACCACAAGGGGAAGAGACGGCUAACUCUGUGGCAGCAGCCGCGGUAAUACAGAGGUCUCAAGCGUUGUUCGGAAUCACUGGGCGUAAAGCGUGCGUAGGCUGUUUCGUAAGUCGUGUGUGAAAGGCGCGGGCUCAACCCGCGGACGGCACAUGAUACUGCGAGACUAGAGUAAUGGAGGGGGAACCGGAAUUCUCGGUGUAGCAGUGAAAUGCGUAGAUAUCGAGAGGAACACUCGUGGCGAAGGCGGGUUCCUGGACAUUAACUGACGCUGAGGCACGAAGGCCAGGGGAGCGAAAGGGAUUAGAUACCCCUGUAGUCCUGGCAGUAAACGGUGCACGCUUGGUGUGCGGGGAAUCGACCCCCUGCGUGCCGGAGCUAACGCGUUAAGCGUGCCGCCUGGGGAGUACGGUCGCAAGAUUAAAACUCAAAGAAAUUGACGGGGACCCGCACAAGCGGUGGAGUAUGUGGCUUAAUUCGAUGCAACGCGGAGAACCUUACCUGGGCUUGACAUGUAAUGAACAACAUGUGAAAGCAUGCGACUCUUCGGAGGCGUUACACAGGUGCUGCAUGGCCGUCGUCAGCUCGUGUCGUGAGAUGUUUGGUUAAGUCCAGCAACGAGCGCAACCCCUGUUGCCAGUUACCAGCACGUGAAGGUGGGGACUCUGGCGAGACUGCCCAGAUCAACUGGGAGGAAGGUGGGGACGACGUCAGGUCAGUAUGGCCCUUAUGCCCAGGGCUGCACACGUACUACAAUGCCCAGUACAGAGGGGGCCGAAGCCGCGAGGCGGAGGAAAUCCUAAAAACUGGGCCCAGUUCGGACUGUAGGCUGCAACCCGCCUACACGAAGCCGGAAUCGCUAGUAAUGGCGCAUCAGCUACGGCGCCGUGAAUACGUUCCCGGGUCUUGCACACACCGCCCGUCA